rnacentral:lncRNA from 1 species
AGGUAGGCAACCUGAGAUCCCUUUUCUUGUAAACCAAGUCUGUAGGCUAACACAAUCACCUCAACUCUUUCUCUGACUCCUAGGUGUCUGGAGAUCUCAUCACUUCCCAGAGAUUAUCACGGUGGGCGACAACACAGGCAUACAGCUGAGACAUUGGCCAGGACUCUGGAGAAGCAGGUUUGGUCCUUUGCUCUGCUACAGACUUGUGGGGUGCCCUUAUAUAGGGUUAUUUAAAAGAUUUUCAAAAAAAGUUUUCAAAGGCAUGCCUGGAAAUGUAGUGACAGAGAAAGGUAUUCAUCCGGGAAUGCUUAGAAUAAGUCAACUGGAGUCAAGAUUAUUAAAUUCUCCUGCUGACAGUGACUUGCAAUGCAUAACUUGAGUUGAGUGAGUCACUUCUUUGUGGCCUCUGUUUAUAUUCUGGUAGUUAGAACGUGUAAGACUUUUAUUAGGCACUUUUCAUGGCGUUUAAAAAGUGAAUUAGUGAUAAAUAUAUGUAUACUUAAUAACAUUGAAGUAAUAUUUUCACCAAGCUGCAAAGAUUGUAUGGAUAAUUCAAUCUAUAGAUUUACAAAUAAUUUAUUCAGUUAUUAUUUUAACUAGUUUUACUAGAUGAAUGAAUUAAAUAGCUGGCAGUUUGCCUAUCUCUUCAUUGCCCUGCUACCUUCUCUCUCUUUUAACAGAGUUAUUUUUCCUUUUGCCCUGAUUGUGAAUGUGGCAUCCUUUCUACUUCACAGACAUCCUCUCUGGACAAGUUAGGCAAGGGAGAUGCUCAAGUGUGAGCAUAUCCUUGCUCCACCACGUUGUGGGAAAAAGAGUGUGCCUGGGCUUUGUGGCAGCACUGAGACCUGCUCUGAGACCCCCUCAGCUUCUUCAUUUCUGUAAAGCCCUGUGAAGGGUCUGUCUGGUGGGACAUGAAGGCUAUACCUGCCCAUUUCCACAGCUGAUCUCUGGUAGUAGUGAGUGUGGGAAAAAAAAGUUCGUUUGUCCUUUCUGAGCAGAA